rnacentral:rRNA from 1 species
GCAAGUCGAGGGGUAUGCUUCUUCGGAAGCAGAGACCGGCGCACGGGUGCGUAACGCGUAUGCAAUCUACCUUUCACAGAGGGAUAGCCCAGAGAAAUUUGGAUUAAUACCUCAUAGUAUAGCAGUUUCGCAUGAAACCACUAUUAAAGUCACAACGGUGAAAGAUGAGCAUGCGUCCCAUUAGCUAGUUGGUAAGGUAACGGCUUACCAAGGCAACGAUGGGUAGGGGUCCUGAGAGGGAGAUCCCCCACACUGGUACUGAGACACGGACCAGACUCCUACGGGAGGCAGCAGUGAGGAAUAUUGGACAAUGGGCGCAAGCCUGAUCCAGCCAUGCCGCGUGCAGGAUGACGGUCCUAUGGAUUGUAAACUGCUUUUAUACGAGAAGAAACCCUCCGACGUGUCGGAGCUUGACGGUAUCGUAAGAAUAAGGAUCGGCUAACUCCGUGCCAGCAGCCGCGGUAAUACGGAGGAUCCAAGCGUUAUCCGGAAUCAUUGGGUUUAAAGGGUCCGUAGGCGGUCAGGUAAGUCAGUGGUGAAAGCCCAUCGCUCAACGGUGGAACGGCCAUUGAUACUGUCUGACUUGAAUUAUUAGGAAGUAACUAGAAUAUGUAGUGUAGCGGUGAAAUGCUUAGAGAUUACAUGGAAUACCAAUUGCGAAGGCAGGUUACUACUAAUGGAUUGACGCUGAUGGACGAA